UUGACGUCUCGCCACAGCAAGAGAAGUUGUUGUAACUGAGGCUUAAAAUGUUCAAUCUUCCCCAAACUUCACAUGUUCGAUAAGAGUCCUGCCCUGAACACAUCUGAAGGCCAAUAUUCCAUUAUAAUGAUAGCGCCACCUGCUGGCAAAAGGAAGAUUGGCACAUAUAUGGAAUAAACAUUGAUAUAUUCUACUUAUAUUUAUGAGUUUAAACGCAUAUUUCUCACCGUUCACCUAUUUACUAAAGCCACUCGCUGCCGGUGAGCCCGGGUGCGAGGGCCCGUUCAUCGCUGCUUGCAGCUUUAAUUAUUAUUAUUAUUAUUAUUAUUAUUUUUUUUUUCUAACGUUACGGGGGCUUUUGGGGUCCUUAACAUGCUCGAAAACUCUUGAAAAUUGGCACACAGAUUGGAACCUGCGGCCAUUAGGGUCGGGCAGAGACUGAUACACGGGCGUGGCACAGGGGCUCUACAGCGCCCCCUGGAAUACUGAGGGCCAUAUAUCAUACAUACUUGCACGUAGACACAUGAAACUCGGUACACAUGUAGAUCUCAUUAAACCAAACAACUUUCGUACUGCAUGUCAUAGGCUCCGCCCAACAGGAAGUUGGCUAUUAAGGGUUUAUUAUUCAUAUUUUUGGUCAAAGUUGUGGGGGCUUUUGGGGUCCCUAACAUACUCAAAAACUCUUGAAAAUUUGCGCACACUUUGGAAUCUGUGCCCUUUAGGAGCCUGCAGAGGUUGGGACCCGGGCGUGGCACAGGGGCUCUAUGGCGCCCCCUGGAACACAGUCAUAAAUGUUGAUGUAUAGCUCACACAUACUUGCACAUAUUCAUAUGAAACUCAGUACACAUAUAGAUCUCAUUGUGCCGAACAAUUUUCGUAUUGCAUGUCAUUGGGCUCCGCCCAACAGGAAGUCAGCUAUUUAGAGUUAUGUAAAAAGCGCAUGCUCUGGAAUUUGAUAUACUUGUCAUAGGUUUUUUACUCGUUUACCACCAAACUCGGUCAACAUGAUCUCAAGACAUUGGGGAUGAAAAAUUGCCAGGGGAUUUUUGAUAUCUCGAACGGUUUGCUCGUGGCGAGGCGUUGAAAUUAUGGCGAGAAUUGAGAAACAGGAAGUGUCUAAUACCAUCCACAUACAUUUCCUGAUUUCAAUCAAACUUCAUCAGAUUAUUCAUUGUAUGAUGUCGAUCACAUAUAUGUGACUAUUAGGAGUCAAAGUUAUAGCGCCACCAACUGGCAGCAGGAAGUGUGUCAUUUUCAAAAUGCUUUGAAUUCAGCAUCUUAUUUUUACUCGAUUUGCUUCAAACUUCAUCAGAAUAAUGUUAAAACACAGCCGAUAUGAAUCUGCUGGGGGAAAUUGGAUAGCUAAAAAUAUUGUUGCCGUGGCAACAUGUCAAACUGGAAUACUUCUCAGGUGAUUUUGAGGCAUAUAACAUGCUUAGAAUUUCAUCAAACUCAGAACACAUAUCAGUAUUUAUGAUAACUAGACACUGGCAAAAGUUCAUAAGAGGGCGUGGAAGAGGCACUCUAUAGCGCCACCUUUUGUCAAAAGUGGGGGGGUUAGUUUUAGCUACAGACACCAAACUCUGUAAAAAAAUUGUUCUUAUCAAGACGGACAACUUUCUAAUUCACAGUCAUCAGCUACGAUCAACAGGAAGUCAGCUAUUUUGAUUUGAAUGUGGAUUUUUUUUUACAUUUAGUUGUGAAUUAAUGCAUACUGCUCAGAGGAGAGUAACACUAUACACACCAAACUUUGUCUACAUGAUGCCAAAACAUUUUAAACAACUUAAAUUGCCAAUGGAUUUUGGAUAGCUUGAACGGUUUUGUCGUGGUGAUUUUUUUUAAUGACAGUAAAACUGGAAUUAUUAAUUUUCCUGCAUUUUUAAAUUCCAAACACUUCAAAACCUUUUUUCAUACAGACAAAAAGUCAUUCUGAGUAAAUAUGGAUAGUUUCACGACUUUACAACACUGUAUGGAUAAUAGAAAAUUAAAAAACUGUCAGACAUCUCAUAUCACUCUGUCCCUCUGUUUGAGUAUAUGUGCUUCAGACUUCCAUUGUCUGAGAGAAAUUGCGCCCCUACAGGUGCAAUUACCGGAGAUUUAGUUUCUCUUUUAAAUCGGUUAAAAUACAAAUAAAUACUUGGAUUUAAUUCACACUGACAAGCUAAACCAACAUAUAUGAUUAUUAUCAGGUCAGGGCUCAUUAAUAAUUGAUGUGUGGUCAGUGAUACGUGAGAAACACGAGAGAUGAAUCACCGCUCUGAGCAUGAGCAUCUGGAAUGAUGAGCUCAGAAAAAACGAGUUUAUUCUUGUUUUAUAGCUAUUAAAAAUAAAGUAUUGCAGCGAUAUCACACAAUUCACCAAUUAGAACACACCAAGAGCUAAAUUAAGAUGUUUUUGAACUGUUUGUGUGAAAAUGAAAUAUUUGAGGCUGCCUAUAUGAAAUCACCGCCUCCGAUCAGCGCGUACAGUGUCGAGCUCAAAACAAACGAAUUUAUUCUUGUUUAAGAGCUUUUUUAAAUAAAAUAUUACCACAAAUGCACACAAUAAACCCAUUGUAACACUACAAGAGCUAAAUGCAGGUGUUUGUGACCCGUUUAAGUGUGCAAGACUAUUUGAAAGCGCGACUGGCAGAAUAACAUAUAUCUCUCGAGCUGCAGGAUUCUGGCUUUCGUCGUACAAACGAACACAUCACGGACAAGAUUAUUUCAAAAUAGCUUGGCGAAUAUAAACGAAAACAGCCACGUGAACGUAAACCGUUGAGAAAUAUAUCUGAAGUGGAUCUACUGGAUUUGAAUAUUAAGUGACCGCGUAUACCAGCUGCUUCUGUCUUCAAUUUUAAUCUAUAUAAAAAAUGUAAUUCAUUCAUCUUGGCUGCGUUUUUUAUGUGUGUACGUAUUUAUUUAUUUAUUAUUUUGCUCUAACAAGAAUUAAUCUAUAUUUAAUUAAAUCAAUUACAUUUUAUUUUACAUUUGAUUUGUCCAUUUCUGCAUCUAAACGCCUAAAAACAUAAAACAUGCUCUAUUAUACUAUUGUUAGCAAUUUCUUUAUCGUCCAAUUUAUCUGGUGUACACACUUUUAUUUUCAUAAUAAACUUGUUUGUUAGAUUAUACACAGUUACAGUGGUCUAUAAUAAAUAUUAACAGGUUUUAUUCAAGCUGUUUAGAAUGAUUGCAGUAGGCUAAAAAACAUUGGAAAACAAUAACUGUUGUACUUUUUUAUAUAUUUUGUAUAAUUUCAUAGUUUAUGCAUUAUAGUUAUAAAAACAAAUAAAUUUAGCCACUCACAUAGAAAUCUUAGGCCUUAUCCUUUUCUUACAGUUUUAGGAAUUUUAAAAAAUCGUAAAAAACCUUAUUUGUGCUGCAAAUAAUAAUUUCAAACUCAAAAAGUAAAUAGUCAGUUCAUGCUUUAUAAAGCCUUGUCCCAAUAUUAAUAGUCAGUAGUAAGCAGUUUAUAAAUACAGCUAUAAAUAGCUUGUUUUUGGUUUAUAAGCACAUUUAUUAAAAAGGAGAGUAAAGGAUCAGUUAUCUUCCUAUGAAAAAUAAAAAAAUAAAAAUAAACAAACAACAACACAGAUUGAUACAGAACUCAGAAAUUCUAUUGUGGAUUUAUGAUAAAAUCAGCCUGUAAAUGAAUUCAUACUCCUCCAAGAAGACACAAGUAGUUCACACCAAACUUUUUUUUUAACAUGAAUCCAAUAUACUGAAGAUGUUAAAUUGCGAAUGGGUUUAGGACACCUUAAAUGGUGUGGCCAUAGCAAUUUAUUAAAGUAACAUAAAAAAAUACAAUAGUUAUUUUACUAUAUCUUUAAAUUUUUUCAUUCCAAACUCUUCAUAAUUUUUUAUAUACGUAGAAGUCAUCAUUUGAAGGAACCACAGUAAGUUUCAAAGCUUUAUCAUUUUCAAGAGCCAGCAAAAAAUUAAAACUAUCAUAACUUAUAAAUGAAGCUUGCAAUUCUUAGUACCAAUAAUGGCCACCUGAUGGAGCUAUAGGAUCACUUUUAAAUAAUUAUUGUAGAAACAAGUAUGAUUUAAAUCAUUUAUAGAAAUCUUUCAAAGAAAAAUAAUAUGAAUUUUAUGUAUUUUACUGAUAAAAUGACCCUCACUUAAUUAGAAUAACAAGCUGAAGUAUUGUGAACUGUAUAUUAAGAAUAAUUCUUUAUAGGCUUUAUGGACAGAUACGUUUUGAGUGACUCUUGAAGGUUCAGCACCACAUCCUCUUUUACCACUGUUUAAAGAAUUAAUCUUACAGAACAGGUGUGAAUGAAUUUUGGAUAGCUUGAAUGGUUUUGUCGUGGUGAUUUUUUGAAAUAAUAGUAAAAAAGGAACCAGUAAAAAAAAGUGCAGCUUCUAAACACUUCAAAAAAAUGUACACAUAGAAGACAAGUCAUUCUGAGGAAAUAUGCAUAGUUUCAUGACUAUACAACAUUAUAUGGAUGACAGAAAAUUAAAAAACAUACAUCUGAUGUCACUCUGUCCCUCUGUCACUGUGUGUGUGUGUUUGUGUGUGUUUUAAGUGAAUUAGGUGUGAAACUAUCAGGGAGCAUUUAGUCUCCAGCGCCAACAUUUUACAGAACUGCCACUUUCCUGGAGUCUCCAGAAUUACUCGGUGUCCGGCUCUGAGAGACUUAAGAUCCCAAAAAAUGAUUUAAUUAGAAUACCAUGAAGUAUUGUGAAAUACUAUAUAUUAAGGCUUUAUAUAUAGGCUUUAUGAACAGAUUAGAGUGACUCGUGAAGGACCAGCACCACCUCCUCUUGUCCGAUGGUUUGAGGAGUAUAUCUUCCAGAAUCCAGGAUUAAGAUUUAAGAGCUCAUUUUUAUUCCACCUCCUUUCCUGAAAGUCUGUCUUGCAGAAUUGACUAAAAAUUAAUCUUCACAUUAUUUCCUAAUUAUUUUGCAAUUCUUUUUGUCAGUUCUUCUUGACCUGUUUUUCUCUUCCAGCUUUCCUGGACUAUUGUAUAGCACUCAUAAAUGAUUAAAUAAAAAAUAAUGGUAGUUAUUAAGAUUGAUAUGGUUUGGAAUUGGUAAAAAAUGCUUGGAAAAAAAUCACAAUAAAACAAUGUUUUAAUGUUUAAGUUUGGAAUAUUAACUGACGUGAAUGAAUGCUAUAUAAACAUUGUUCAUGUUAACAUAAUGUUUAUGAAUGGAAUCUUAUUGUAAAGUGUUACUAAAGUUAUAUAUAUAUAUAUUGUUCUGUGAAUGUGAUUUUAAAGUCUAGAUGAUUCGGAUUAACCCUUUAACUGCCAUAUCCUUUAAAACCUCACUGCCAGAGGGAUAUUGUGAA